rnacentral:rRNA from 1 species
GACGAACGCUGGCGGCGUGCUUAAAACAUGCAAGUCGAACGGAAAGGCCCUGCUUUUGUGGGGUGCUCGAGUGGCGAACGGGUGAGUAACACGUGAGUAACCUGACCUUGACUUUGGGAUAACUUCAGGAAACUGGGGCUAAUACCGGAUAGGAGAUCUUGCUGCAUGGUGGGGGUUGGAAAGUUUCGGCGGUUGGGGAUCGACUCGCGGCUUAUAAGCUUGUUGGUGGGGUAGUGGCUUACCAAGGCUUGGACGGAUAGCCGGCCUGAGCGGGUGACCGGCCACAUUGCGACUGAGAUACGGCCCAGACGCCUACAAGAAGCAGCAGUGGAGAAUAUUGCACAGUAGGCGGAAACCUAAUGCAGCAACGCCGCGUGCGCGAAAACGGCCUACGGGUUGUAAACCGCUUUCGCCUGUGACGAAGCGUGAUUGACGGUAAUGGGUAGAGAAGCACCGGCUAACUACGUG